CUGGCAACCAUAAUAUCCACCAACUGUCAACGCGCAAGUCUCGAAAACACUACUCACAUAACUUGACCUAAUCGCGUGAAGUAAAGGUCGUAAAGUCUUUGAUUCCGCAAAUAUUCGAUUUAAUCAGCGAAAAAAUAGUGUUUGCGCGAGUGUAAAUCACUAAAGACCUUUAGUGUACUUAUUCACGUAUUACGAUCGACACAUCCAUCCAGCUGAAGCCGAUAUAAAUCCACUAAUUUGUUGAUCAUGCUCCGAACAAUUGUCAUAAGGAAUGAGAAUCUUCUCCGCGGUUCAAUCCAACGGAUUGCAAAACGGAAUAUUGUGCGUUGUGUGACCUAUGAAUGUGCGAAACGAAUUCAGCCCCAAAGUCGGGUGCACAAUGUAAAUAAAUUACUGACACCAGCCGUGUGGAAUGUGGACUUCUGCCGUGGUUAUGCUGGCGAUGUUCCGGCACACACAAGAGUCACACUGCCCGCAUUGUCGCCGACUAUGGACGCCGGAACCAUUGUCAGUUGGGAGAAAAAAGAAGGGGACAAAUUGAAUGAAGGUGAUUUGUUGGCGGAAAUCGAGACUGACAAAGCGACCAUGGGCUUCGAAACACCCGAAGAAGGUUAUUUAGCAAAAAUCCUUAUAGCUGCCGGAACGAAAGAGGUUCCCAUUGGCAAACUAGUGUGUAUCAUUGUGGAGAACGAAUCUGACGUGGCUGCGUUCAAAGAUUUCCAGGACACAAGUUCAGCUGCACCUGCAGCCUCUCCACCGAAACCUGCUGCUCCAACUCCAGCACCACCGGCACCAGUCGCUCCGCCUCCAAUUCCACAACCAGUAGUAGCUGCAACACCGACACCAAUGACCGCUGUAGAACAACGAGGACCACGAGUGUACGCCAGUCCAAUGGCCAAGAAACUGGCAGAAACUCAAAAGCUGCGAUUAGAAGGACAAGGCAGUGGCCUCUUUGGUUCAAUUACAUCUAAGGAUCUUGCAGGAAGAAGUGCCGCUCCUACUGCUUCUGCUGGACCAGUUAUACCGACCGGUGCUGCUUAUGUUGAUAUUCCAGUAACAAAUAUUCGUUCGGUUAUCGCUAAACGAUUACUCGAAUCCAAACUAACAAUUCCUCACUAUUAUUUGACUGUCGAUGUAAAUAUGGAUCAAAUUAUGGCACUACGAACGAAAUUCAAUAAGAAAUUAGAAAAAGAGGGCGUCAAAUUGUCGGUAAACGAUUUCGUCCUGAAGGCAACCGCACUUGCUAGCAAAAAAGUACCAGAGGCUAAUUCGGCAUGGAUGGGAACGUUUAUCCGAAUGUACGACGCUGUUGAUUUAUCGGUAGCCGUAGCUACGGACAAAGGACUGAUUACGCCAAUUGUACCGCAAGCCGAUCGCAAAGGCCUCGUCGAUAUUAACAAAAUGGUGAAAGAGCUUGCCGAUAAGGCACGUGAUGGUAAAUUACAGCCACAUGAGUUCCAAGGUGGCACCAUUACCGUUUCGAAUUUGGGAAUGUUCGGAACGACCCAAUUUUGUGCCGUCAUAAAUCCACCGCAAUCGUGCAUAUUGGCUGUCGGUGGCGCUCAACAACGCAUCGUUCCGGAUCCAGAUUCCGACAAGGGUUGGAAACAGAGCGUUUACAUUUCGGUGACAUUGAGCUGUGACCAUCGUUCCGUUGACGGAGCUGUUGGUGCUCGGUGGUUGCAAUAUUUCCAGAAAUUCAUGGAAGACCCACAUUCAAUGCUGCUUUAAAUGUUCCCUUGGAUUCGUUCAGAGACAAACCGUUUCCCAUCGCAGCUGAAUGAAUAAUUUCCGUUCCGCCACGAAAAUGUAAAUAAGAAAAAAUUGAAUCUGAAGAAUGUAUUUGUUGAUGGAAAUAGUUUGUAUAUUGGGAAAUGGAUCAUAAACUAGGACUGCAAAAUUACAUAAUUUGAAAAACAAUUACACACACACACCGACCGCCCCUAUCAAUUCACAAUAUGUUGUUUUUCCGUAGAAUAAUUUGCAAAAAGAAAGUAA